rnacentral:rRNA from 1 species
AUGGGUACUUGUAUAAACGGCCAAACAUUGUUAAUUUUUCUUUUUCUUAAAGAAUGAAUUUAGAGUAAAAGUAAAAAUACUUUUAUGCUCUAAAGAGACGAUAAGACCCUAAAAGCUUUAUUUAUUAGCCUAUAGUUUUAUAUCACAAAAGGCUUUUUAGUUUUAACUGGGGUAGUUAUGGUUUUUUAAGUUAAGUAAUAGCUUUAAAAAGGUAAAAUGACCCUUUUUAUAAAGGUUUUUGUUUAAGUUACUUUAGGGAUAACAGCGUUAUAAAAUUAAAGAGACCUUAUCUCCAAUUUUGAUUGCGACCUCGAUGUUGAA